CACGUAGGAGGCAAACGUUAUCCGGAUUUACUGGGCGUAAAGCGCGUGUAGGUGGUUCUGUAAGUAGGGCGUGAAAGCUCCUGGCUCAACUGGGAGAGGCCGUUCUAAACUGCAGAGCUAGAGGAUGGUAGAGGGAGGUGGAAUUCCAGGUGUAGCGGUGGAAUGCGCAGAUAUCUGGAGGAACACCAGUGGCGAAGGCGGCCUCCUGGACCAUUCCUGACACUCAGACGCGAAAGCUAGGGUAGCAAACGGGAUUAGAUACCCCCGUAGU
rnacentral:rRNA from 1 species